CAGGCCUAACACAUGCAAGUCGACGGCAGCACGGGGGCAACCCUGGUGGCGAGUGGCGAACGGGUGAGUAAUCAUCGGAACGUGUCCUCUUGUGGGGGAUAACCAGUCGAAAGACUGGCUAUACCGCAUGAGAUCGAAAGAUGAAAGCGGGGGACCGCAAGGCCUCGCGCAGAGGAGCGGCCGAUGCCGGAUUAGCUAGUUGGUGGGGUAAAGGCCUACAAGGCGACGAUCCGUAGCUGGUCUGAGAGGACGACCAGCCACACUGGGAUGAGACACGGCCCAGACUCCUACGGGAGGCAGCAGUGGGGAAUUUUGGAAAUGGGCGCAAGCCUGAUCCAGCAAUGCCGCGUGUGUGAAGAAGGCCUUGGGUUGUAAAGCACUUUCGGACGGAACGAAAUCGCGCGGAUGAAUAAUCGCGUGGAUGACGGUACCGUAAGAAGAAGCACCGGCUAACUACGUGCCAGAGCCGCGGUAAU
rnacentral:rRNA from 1 species